CAAUUCAUCCAAUACUCGAUCCGAUACUCGAGAAGAAAAUCUUAUUGUACAAGGUCCUAGCAGUAGAAUAAGAUCCCAUUCAACUAGCUCAGAAUCAUCUUCGAGUUUAUCAUCAAUAAGUUCAAGUUCAUCAUCUUCAUCUAGUUCAUCUGAAUCGGAUCAAUAAUUGUAAGCGCCGUGUAUGUAAAACUUUCUUUAAAAACACAUUGGCUAUUAGUAAUCGACCUAUCGCAACUGUUAUAUCAAAAAAA
rnacentral:misc_RNA from 1 species